rnacentral:rRNA from 1 species
CCUACGGGAGGCUGCAGUGAGGAAUAUUGGUCAAUGGUCGAAAGACUGAACCAGCCAUGCCGCGUGCAGGACAGACGGCCCUAGAGGUUGUAAACUGCUUUUAUAUGGGAAGAAUAAGGAGUACGUGUACUUUGAUGACGGUACCAUAUGAAUAAGCAUCGGCUAACUCCGUGCCAGCAGCCGCGGUAAUACGGAGGAUACGAGCGUUAUUCGGAAUCAUUGGGUUUAAAGGGUCUGUAGGCGGGCUAUUAAGUCAGGGGUGAAAGGUUUCAGCUUAACUGAGAAAUUGCCUUUGAUACUGGUAGUCUUGAAUAUCUGUGAAGUUCUUGGAAUGUGUAGUGUAGCGGUGAAAUGCUUAGAUAUUACACAGAACACCGAUUGCGGAGGCAGGGGACUAACAGAUGAUUGACGCUGAGAGACGAAAGCGUGGGGAGCGAACAGGAUUAGAUACCCCGGUAGUC